rnacentral:rRNA from 1 species
UACACUCCUACGGGAGGCAGCAGUGGGGAAUUUUGGACAAUGGGCGAAAGCCUGAUCCAGCAAUGCCGCGUGAGUGAAGAAGGCCUUCGGGUUGUAAAGCUCUUUUGUCAGGGAAGAAACGGUGAAAGCUAAUAUCUUUUGCUAAUGACGGUACCUGAAGAAUAAGCACCGGCUAACUACGUGCCAGCAGCCGCGGUAAUACGUAGGGUGCAAGCGUUAAUCGGAAUUACUGGGCGUAAAGCGUGCGCAGGCGGUUUUGUAAGUCUGAUGUGAAAUCCCCGGGCUCAACCUGGGAAUUGCAUUGGAGACUGCAAGGCUAGAAUCUAGCAUAGGGGGGUAGAAUUCCACGUGUAGCAGUGAAAUGCGUAGAUAUGUGGAGGAACACCGAUGGCGAAGGCAGCCCCCUGGGUCAAGAUUGACGCUCAUGCACGAAAGCGUGGGGAGCAAACAGGAUUAGAUACCCGGGUAGUCCCAUGAU